CCUCACGGCCUCUCCCCUCGUCUUCCCGAGCUCCGGUGAGAGGCUGGGGCCUGGUGCCGGCACUAGCAGACGGCACGGCCUUGGAGACCCAUCAUCUCGAUCUCGCACAGACCAUGUAGCGUCCUCAUCUCCUUGUCGUCCUCCUCGUCAUCUCCGUCGCCAUCGCCGCCGCCGGACUCUGGUGCUCCGGAUCCGGAUCUAGCAUGUAGAAGGGGUCCGUUGAGGAACCAGGGCCGGAGGCGGAGGGCUGGAUCCGUGCUUCAUCCACGUCGUCGGUGCACCUGGUGCUCCAGCUACAAAGCUGUUGAGGAACCAGGUCACUGGCGCUUGAGCAUGGCCGGAUCUGACGAAGAGACGGUGGAGGUGGGCAUGAACGAGGAGUGGCGGUUGUGCGGCUUGGCCGGAGAUGACGACGAGGACAACAUGGACGAGGACCGCGCGGCCCUAUUCGGUGCAACCGCUGAUGAUGCUAUUCCCGUCGACGGUGAUGGUGAACACGUUGAGGAACCACCUGCACCUGACGGUAACACCGCCAAGCGCCCACACCCCUCUACCUCUCCUGUCUGGGCUGACUAUGAGAAACUAUUCAAGGAAAUCAAUGGUAAGACGGUCAGGUAUGGAGCUCGAUGCCUUCACUGCUCUAAGGUCUAC